rnacentral:rRNA from 1 species
AACGAACGCUGGCGGCAUGCCUAACACAUGCAAGUCGAACGAGACCUUCGGGUCUAGUGGCGCACGGGUGCGUAACGCGUGGGAACCUGCCCUUAGGUUCGGAAUAACUCCCCGAAAGGGGUGCUAAUACCGGAUAAUGUCUUCGGACCAAAGAUUUAUCGCCUUUGGAUGGGCCCGCGUUGGAUUAGCUAGUUGGUAGGGUAAAAGCCUACCAAGGCGACGAUCCAUAGCUGGUCUGAGAGGAUGAUCAGCCACACUGGGACUGAGACACGACCCAGACUCCUACGGGAGGCAGCAGUGGGGAAUAUUGGACAAUGGGCGAAAGCCUGAUCCAGCAAUGCCGCGUGAGUGGUGAAGGCCUUAGGGUUGUAAAGCUCUUUUACCCGGGAUGAUAAUGACAGUACCGGGAGAAUAAGCUCCGGCUAACUCCGUG